CCUACGGGAGGCAGCAGUAGGGAAUUUUCCACAAUGGGGGCAACCCUGAUGGAGCAACGCCGCGUGCAGGAUGAAUGCCUUCGGGUUGUAAACUGCUUUUAUCUGUGACGAUUAUGACGGUAGCAGAUGAAUAAGGAUCGGCUAACUCCGUGCCAGCAGCCGCGGUCAUACGGAGGAUCCAAGCGUUAUCCGGAAUUACUGGGCGUAAAGAGUUGCGUAGGUGGUUUGUUAAGCAAAUAGUGAAAGCGUGGGGCUCAACCUCAUAUCCAUUAUUUGAACUGGCAGACUAGAGGAUGAGAGAGGUCGCUGGAAUUCCUAGUGUAGGAGUGAAAUCCGUAGAUAUUAGGAGGAACACCGAUGGCGUAGGCAGGCGACUGGCUCAUUCCUGACACUGAGGCACGAAAGCGUGGGGAGCAAACGGGAUUAGAUACCCUGGUAGU
rnacentral:rRNA from 1 species